GGUAUUUAACUUACGGUUACACCCAUGCCUACUGAGGUUACACCAAUGUUUAUCUAUAAACAUCAAAAUUUUGCUUCAGGGUAUAUAAUGGCUUUAUCUUUAGCAGCCUGAUGGAUGCAUCAGUUACCCCUCUGCUAUGCCUAGGAGCUGGAGCAUGUGUUGGAAUAAUAGUCAUGUCAGCAACUUACCCAAUGGAUCUGGUGAAAGGCAGGCUUACUGUCCAGAUAGACGUGUCUCCUUCCCAGUACAGGGGAAUUGCACAUACCUUAUCAACCGUCCUUCGGGAGGAAGGCUCACUAUGUCUAUAUAA